AUUGAACGCUGGCGGCAUGUCUUACACAUGCAAGUCGAACGGUAACGGGUCCUUCGGGAUGCCGACGAGUGGCGAACGGGUGAGUAAUAUAUCGGAACGUGCCCAGUAGUGGGGGAUAACUGCUCGAAAGAGCAGCUAAUACCGCAUACGACCUGAGGGUGAAAGGGGGGGAUCGCAAGACCUCUCGCUAUUGGAGCGGCCGAUAUCAGAUUAGCUAGUUGGUGGGGUAAAGGCCUACCAAGGCAACGAUCUGUAGUUGGUCUGAGAGGACGACCAGCCACACUGGGACUGAGACACGGCCCAGACUCCUACGGGAGGCAGCAGUGGGGAAUUUUGGACAAUGGGCGCAAGCCUGAUCCAGCAAUGCCGCGUGCAGGAAGAAGGCCUUCGGGUUGUAAACUGCUUUUGUCAGGGAAGAAAUCUUCUGGGCUAAUACCCCGGGAGGAUGACGGUACCUGAAGAAUAAGCACCGGCUAACUACGUGCCAGCAGCCGCGGUAA
rnacentral:rRNA from 1 species